rnacentral:rRNA from 1 species
UACGGAGGGGACUAGCGUUGUUCGGAAUUACUGGGCGUAAAGCGCACGUAGGCGGAUUUGUUAGUCAGGGGUGAAAUCCCGAGGCUCAACCUCGGAACUGCCUUUGAUACUGCAAAUCUCGAGUCCGGAAGAGGUGAGUGGAAUUCCUAGUGUAGAGGUGAAAUUCGUAGAUAUUAGGAAGAACACCAGUGGCGAAGGCGGACUCACUGGUCCGGUACUG